rnacentral:rRNA from 1 species
UACAGAGGGUGCAAGCGUUAAUCGGAAUUACUGGGCGUAAAGCGUGCGUAGGCGGUUACGUAAGUCGGGUGUGAAAGCCCCGGGCUCAACCUGGGAAUUGCAUUCGAGACUGCGUAGCUAGGGUGCGGAAGAGGGAAGCGGAAUUUCCGGUGUAGCGGUGAAAUGCGUAGAUAUCGGAAAGAACACCAACGGCGAAAGCACUCUGCUGGGCCGACACUGACACUGAGAGACGAAAGCUAGGGGAGCGAAUGGG